rnacentral:rRNA from 1 species
GACGAACGCUGGCGGCGUGCUUAACACAUGCAAGUCGAACGGUAAGGCCCUUCGGGGUACACGAGUGGCGAACGGGUGUGUAACACGUGGGUGAUCUGCCCUGCACUUCGGGAUAAGCCUGGGAAACUGGGUCUAAUACCGGAUAGGACUCCUGGCUUCAUGGUUGGGGGUGGAAAGCUUUUGCGGUGUGGGAUGGGCCCGCGGCCUAUCAGCUUGUUGGUGGGGUAAUGGCCUACCAAGGCGACGACGGGUAGCCGGCCUGAGAGGGUGACCGGUCACACUGGGACUGAGAUACGGCCCAGACUCCUACGGGAGGCAGCAGUGGGGAAUAUUGCACAAUGGGCGCAAGCCUGAUGCAGCGACGCCGCGUGAGGGAUGACGGCCUUCGGGUUGUAAACCUCUUUCAGCUAUGACGAAGCGCAAGUGACGGUAGGUGCAGAAGAAGGACCGGCCAACUACGUGCCAGCCGCCGCGGUAA